ACUAGUGAAUCUAACUUUUAUUUAGUUAGUUAUUUAUGUUGGAUUACUAGGAUAAUUUAGGUUGAUUUAAGGACGGGUUUUAUGAUGCGAUAGCUUGUAGAAAUAACAGUGUGUGUUUAAUUAUAUCCUGGAAAGGAUGAUGUUCAGCACAUGAAGCCCUACAGAUGCCGCCGAUUCAACAAUGCUGAUUAUGAUGGGCGGUCGUUUUAACCUUUGCCUUAUUAGGUCCUCCACAGUCGCCCCAUCAGUCCCUGGCAGUCUGGUCCCUGGAGCAGCUGGCCCUGGCAAAAGUUAUUCCUUCACUGUUGACCCCUGGCUGACUGGCCCUCGGCACACAAAUCCCUGGAUCACCCGCCACUGGAUCACUUGCCACUGGAUCACCUGCCACCAGUGUUGGGCGUAACGCGUUACAAAAGUAACGCGUUACCGUAAUAUAUUACAUUUAGUCAGUAACGGAGUAAUAUAACGAGUUACUAACUAUAUUUCGGUAAUAUUAUUACAGUUACUGAGUCCGGUAACGCGUUACAAUCAUGGACAUAAUAAAGGAUCGACCACGGACUGGAAAGUGGCCGCCAAUUCAUUCCUAUACAAACUGCUCAGUGGCGCAGGGUAACAUACAGGAGCGAUUUGCUUCCGCGUUAUGGGGCCAAGACACGUGGCCUAGUCCGUGACGUACCGGAUGCAGAAAUAUAGAACGCAUGCGUGCCCAUCCCCCCACUCCGGUCCAACAACAAUAUAAAAUGAUACCGUAAUGCACCUGUUCUUUGUCUUUGGAUCUUUUGAAUAAAUGGAUCAAUACAUGAUGAAUCACAAUGAUCGCAAGCAGAGGACCGUGAGAGUUAUUGAGCAGCAGAUGAACCAGUCCAAAAAUCGAACACGUUAACGGAGCACUGAACUAGGCCCUCUCGGAUGCCAUUUGUUUCACUACGACUCCUUUCAGCUGCACACCCCUCUUCCCCAGCGAGAUAAGGGUUAAUAAAACGCUUGAGGUGGCAUUUUGAGGACAUGGCAUGAAGGUAAUUAUUAGCCUUUGAUUGAUAUCCAGACAUUUUUUGCGGAGACACAUUCCUGUUCCCCACUUGUAUUGGAGUGAACGGAGAUAUCUACUUCUGGGUCCCAUGAUUUGAGGGACCCGUCCACAGCCCGCUUAAACAGCUGCAAUACCAGGCUUGGCCGCUGAGCACUGGUGGAUUGCGGAAGUAUGCAGUGUUCCUGGGGGCUUGGUUACAAUCCGAGCCACACAGACUCCAGCCCUUGUUUGGCUGUAUAUUUUGUCUAUUAAGACUUUGUUGUUUGGUCCUAACCAAAACAUUAAUAGGCUCUAAGCAUAAGUUCCUUGUAAAGUCUCUGUGGGACUGAAAUGUUGAAUGUGUUUCAUUAUUUAUGCCGUUCUCAUGCUCUUUUUUAUUACUGCUAUUUACUGCUAUUUCAGGGCAGGAUAUAUGUUCAGGUUCUAAAAUACUUAAUUACAAAACAUGUCCUGUCUGGUGGCUGUUAGACGUCAUUCUUGAAGUGCACUUUUACUUUAUUAUUGAAAUAGUAUAAACUAUUAACAUGUUUGAUUUCAUGGAAAUGCAACUUUUUUUGUUAAAUGUUUGUGUGGCUGCACUUUGUAACUAAGGAGCUAAUAAAUGAGGCAUAGAAAAAGAGUUUGUGUCAUGUCGUGUAAAGGUUUUGGUUGUAAGUAACUUAUUACUUAUUACUCUACACAGAAGGUAAUAUUGUAAAGAAACUUAUUACUUUCAAAUGCAAGUAACUAGUAAUAUGAAAUAUAUUACAUUUUGGAAGUAACUUGCCCAACACUGCCUGCCACUGGAUCACCUGCCCCUGGCAAUGUCAAGCGUUGAAAUCCUUUUCAACGCUUGAAAUCCACCUAAAUUUCUCCCUCAAUCUCUGUAACAAUUACAAGGUAAUGUUGCUGUUAUAUGUAUUUUGCCUUUGCAUUUGCAACUACUGUCAUCUCUAAUGUAAGAAAAUGAAUUAAAGCAAAACAUUUCUGUAAUGUGAAUUAAAUCAUCUGCCACAAUCAGAAACCAAUACAAUUUAUAAAUGGAUCUACCGGCAAUUGUUAAUUGGGUAGAAAUGUGUCGAUUAUCUACAUUGUGUGCAAAUCCUCAGAGAAUCCCUGCCUUCUGGUUGUUUUUUAAACUGAAUGUACAAAUAUGAAUUAUGUAAUCUCAUUAGGAGUGUAGUCUAUCCUUGAAUUACAUGAAAUGGGGAAUAUUGUUAGCUGCAUGGAUCAUACCGAAGUUUAAUUUGGCGCAAUAUGUGUGGUCCGUUGCACUUGGUUCCGGAGGCACCCUCACAGAAGGGGGUUUCCUCCUCUUCGGUUUAGGGCGAUGGAUGAAAACUGUUGGGCCUCAACUUCAACAUCCUAUCUACUUUUGUGGCUUUGAAUUGGUCAUUUUCAAAGUGUACCUGUAGGUAGGCUUGUAAGAUCAGUUUCCAUUGCACUUCAAAUAUCAUUGGAAAGUCAUAAUUCUCUACACUUAGAAUUAUUAUGCCCUUUGAAAUGCUAGCAAGUGAUCUGAACAUUACGUUACAUAGUUUUUGACUGUUGCUGACUGUCAAUAAGUUUUGACGGCUGACCAUUGCCAUCCAUAUCUCCCUGCGCUCUUGGUCCUUGGGGAAGCCGUGAUAACCCUUCACGGACCGAUUGGAGCAUCCAAAUGCUGCACAGCCAACCAUGGUAUGACCAUUGAUCUAUAAAAUGUUAGUUGUAACCAAUGAACCAUGACACCAUUGAAGAUCACAGAGCGGGUAACAACUGUUCCUCAACCACUUAUGCCCCGACUUUUGAGAAUAGGUUAGAGGUCAGAGUUCAUGACCAAACGAGGAUCCUCCCUCCUAAACCCAUUUUGAAUUUGCUCAGGGCUAUUCUAAGUAUUGUAAUGGCAUAAAGUAUAGUAUAUUUGCAACGUUAUAUGUUAAUGGUUUGCCCUAAGUAUAGUGUUCCCUGCUGUGUCCAUUGUUGAAUCUGUUCACACAAUCGCAAUCACUUGUUCUUGUCACACUAAUUGUUUAAUAAAAAAAAACACAAUUUCAUUCAUCCAAGCGUAAUGAGUUGUUAUUCUUUAAUAUAUUUGAUACUUUGUGUGGCUUAUAUCUUUAAAUGAUCAUGGUAGAACAUCUUGAAUACUUUGAUUUCAACACAGAUGUAAGGUAAAAGUUAAGGUUAGGCCAGUAUGCUAACACGAACGUGAAGCUUUCCCUCCAAAACUUAAAAACGUAUCUAAGUAAUAGUACUUAUAGAUAGCUUUCAGUUGCCCCCCUACCGCUCUAAAUAUAAAACUGACAUUUACAAAUAUGCAAUAAUGCAAUAACAGUCAGACAAAUACUUGUAUGUGAUUUUUUCAUUCAUAUUUACCAUUUAAUAUUGAAAUCUCU
rnacentral:lncRNA from 1 species